rnacentral:rRNA from 1 species
GAUGAACGCUAGCUACAGGCUUAACACAUGCAAGUCGCGGGGCAGCAUGGGGGUUGCUUGCAAUCCCCGAUGGCGACCGGCGCACGGGUGAGUAACGCGUAUCCAACCUGCCCUUCACCACGGGAUGACCCGGCGAAAGUCGGACUAAUACCGUAUGUUGUCCAUUGACGGCAUCCGAUUUGGACGAAAGGCUUGGCGGUGAGGGAUGGGGAUGCGUCCGAUUAGCCAGACGGCGGGGUAACGGCCCACCGUGGCUACGAUCGGUAGGGGUUCUGAGAGGAAGGUCCCCCACACUGGAACUGAGACACGGUCCAGACUCCUACGGGAGGCAGCAGUGAGGAAUAUUGGUCAAUGGGCGUAAGCCUGAACCAGCCAAGUAGCGUGCAGGAUGACGGCCCUAUGGGUUGUAAACUGCUUUUAUGCGGGGAUAAAGUGGCCCACGUGUGGGCUUUUGCAGGUACCGCAUGAAUAAGGACCGGCUAAUUCCGUG